rnacentral:tRNA from 1 species
AACAAGAAAUGAUAUAUUAUAUAUAAUUUCGACUUAUACUUAGAUGUUACUACAUCCUUGUUC